UAAAAAGUUUCAGUUAGUGCUGUGGUGGAUGCCUCGUCGUCAGUCUUUGAACUUGCUACGGGAAAGGGAAUUUUUCACGGAGUGCUUGCUGUUUGCAUUGCUCGGGUUUUCCCCCUGAUCUCCUACACAUUUUCAGUUGUUUGAAUUGCGCGGGUGUUCCCUCUGAUCUCCUACACAUUUUUCAGCCAUUCACAGGUUCGGCGUCCACUGCCUCUAACCGGUUAGCUGUGGAACUGCAUCAGCUCUCCAACAAAGCCAGUCAAUGGGUGAAAGGAUCAAGCCAGCUGGAGACCUUUUUUUCCAGAAGAGGGGGAUGUCGUCAAUGUUUCGCACUUUACAAUAAACUUUUAUGAAA